UCUGACUAGAAUUCGUGUUUAAGUUCCAAAAUUUCAAAAAAAUAAAAUAAAAAAUAAAAAAAUUUCAAAAAAAAUUACAUCUUAGACCCCUAAACUUUCCUUAAAUUACAUUUUAACCCUAAAUUUUCUAAAAAUUACAUUUAGCCCCAGAAUUUUUGCUGUAUUUGUGAUUUGGUCCUUCAGACAGAUUACGUGAUUUGGGGCACCCACUUCCCAGAUUUUCAGGCCAAAAACAUGGGUGGUUGUUCCUUCUUCACCCACUACCUGCAAAUGGCAUAAAAAACAAGCAAAAUGGUAGAAAUGAAAAAGGAACACAAAAAAAAAAGAGAAUUCUCCCAUUUGAAAAAAAAAGAGCAAAAAAUUCCAGCAAAAAAAAUCCAAAAAAAAAACAUUAGCAAUCAAGAGAAAAAACGCAGAAAGGUGGAUCUUCGAUUUCAUUUUAUUUGUUUUCAUUUCGUUUUAACUACUUCUUAGUUUCCUUUCAAAUUUACUGCAAAUCAAUAAACAAAAAGGGGGUUUUGUUUUCAAAUACAAAAAAGGGGUUGUAUUACACAGAUUAUUAAUAAAAAGAGAACAAAAAAGGUUGUUUUCAUAUUUUCUUUCCUUGGUUUUUUUUCUUUCUUUAGAUUUUUUUUAUUUUAUUUUCUGUGUUAAAUCUUUUAAAAAAAUAAAAAUAAAAAACAAAAGAGGGGCUGAAAACUUACCUAUUCUUCGCGUCCCGCCCCCAUCGGAGAUUCCCCGAUCCAAAAGGGCCACGAAACCCCUCAGGUUUCUCGUUUAGGCCAUGGAAAAUAAGAGGGGGACGAGUACUCGGAGGGCAAAAUAGGAGCUUUCUCACUUGAACUUGGUGAGAGAGAGGUUUGUUUGAGAGAAGUGAAAAUGAAAAGGGGGAAGGAAAGAGUUUUUAGUUUUUUUUUCUCUUGAAAAAGGGACCAGCAGAAUAGAAAAGUAGGAAACUUUUUUAAAAUCAUUUGAAAAGGUACCGUGAGUGUAGUGGGGGGUUGUGAAUUCUCCCUAAAAGGGAUAUUUGUGCGUUUAGUCCUUUCCAUUCGAAACUCCAUUCAAUCGGCCCCUAUUUCCAAUUUUUUUUUGUUUUUUUUAAUUCUAACCCUCAAAUUUCGUUUGGUUUUUUAUUAGGUCCCUGAUGAACUUUCUAGUAUUUAUAAUUUUGUACCCCAAUUUUUAACUCGUUUUCAACCAUGUCCUAAAUCUAUUUAAUCCAUUUAUUAACUUUUUAAAAAAAUAAUAUUUCACCUAUGUGUUAUUUAAAAUAUUUUAUAUGUUAUUUACUUUACAUCUAUUCCAACUUAUUUUAAUGUAUUGUUUGUUUAAAUUCUUAUUAUUUAUUUUAACUUGCUUUAUGCAUAUAUUUUAUAUUGGUCUAUUUUAUAUAUAUUAUUUAUUCCUUACCUACUAUAUAUAUGUGUACAUAUAUUCUAUUUUUAAAUUGUUUUGUACAUUGUUGAUUAAAUUUCUUUUCUCAUUAUUUAUUUUAAAUUCAUUUAUUAAUUAUUUUGAAAUUUGUUUUACGUUUUAGUCAUUUUAGUUUGCGUUAUAAUAUUUUUAAUUCACUUGUCUUUGAUUAUUAAUGAUUAGUAUUCAAGUUACAUAUGUUAUGUGAUUAUUGCCAUUGUGUAUGGUAUAAUUAGUUUAUUCGUAUUUUCGUUAUUGCCAUUUGCUUGUAUAAUAUUGUAUUUGUGUUGUUAUUACGUACUCUAUGUUAUAUUUUUGUUUUAUCUAGUUUAAAUCAUAUGAUACAUUAACCCAACAUACUUGCCCGACUUGGAUCGCUUGAUUUUUUUUAUUCCAAACAAAUAAUGUACGUCGUUCAAAUGCCAUAUUCGCUACUACUCAAAAACGAAAUUUUCCAAAUAAGGCAAUGUUAUGCAUUUUGAGAUAUCAAGGAAUUGUGCCCUAACUUACGGGGUUUCGAUUUUCUCGUUAUUUCUAAAUAGCUAAAUAUCCUUUUCGAGUUUUAAAACACACGAAACUCAAUUUAAAUUAAAAGACAACCUUGUGCUCGGGAAUUCAUGGUAUUGUGUCCUAACUUACGGGAUGUGAUACUCCGAUAUCUCGAGAUAAGGAAAUCUUUAAACAAAUCGAUUUAAGUUAAUUCAAGAAUUUUAAAAUCGGUAUUAAUAGAAAAGAUCGUAUUUCAAGUCCCUUCCCGAUUUUUAAUUUUCCACAUUAAGACACUAACUAAUCAAUUCGGUACCAAUUUUUUGGGCAUGUCGAGGGUGCUAAUCCUUCCUCGCACGUAACCGACUCCCGAACUUAUUCUCUCAAGUUUCAUAGACCAGAGGCCCUGUUUUAGUAAACUAAAAUUGAUUUAUUAAAACAAAGGUGAUCCGAUCACACCUAAUAAAAGAUUGGUGGCGACUCCCGUUUUAAUUUUCACUUUCAAACAAAGUCGAUCCCCGUUUUCAAAAGAAUGGUUUCGACAGCUUAGCGACUCCACUGGGGACCUUGAGAGUCGAGCCUUAAAUUGAUUAUUUUUUGUCUUUUGUCAAAAAUCGAAAAUCGGUUUUAAAUUUACUGCAUUGCAUGUUGUCUGUUAUUUUCGCGACUCUCUUCAUAAUAUGCUUGCUUUAAGUGGUUUAAUUCUUUGAUGGAUCUUUGCAUAUCGCAUCAUUGGUCAAUUUCACCCUCUUAAGUGGAAGUGAAAAACUACUCCUUCGUGAGGUCUUCACCUCCGUAUAGGAUAGUGGAUCGCUUUCGAGAUACAUCCGUACCUGCGUCUUCGUGAGGUUUUCACCUCCGUAUAGCCGUAGGGAAAUGUAUUCCCCUGAAUCGAACUCGGUCUGUAUGAACCUAUAAUGGGUGAGGAUCGAGGAAUCUGCUGGUUCAGGUACCUUUACUUUAGAACCAAACUACAUGUAAUGAGCCAUAGGAGCCUACCCUAGGUAGAACCAUACCGAACCCUAGUGGUUACCUGAUUAGGUGCUUAUUUACUCCUUAUUUGUUUUGAAUUCUAUUCUUUGUAUAUAAUACUGACUUGUUGUAUUUUGAUUAUUUUCACAUGACAUUUCAUCAUAAAAGGGUGUUGAUUUACGUUCGGUUACUAAUUAGAAGAGUUUAGCAUGGAAAAAGGAUUUCUUGAUAGAGUGGAGGAUAAUGCGGCCGUCCGAGUGUGGUCUGAGAGAAUGCAACAGGAGAAAGGAGAUAGUUUGACCGAGGGAUAUGAAUCAGAGUUAUGGGAUUUCACUCGUAUCAGUGUGACUCAGAACGACCUACAAGAGUUAAAAGAUAUAUGGAAUAGUUGGAAUGGCGAAGUCAAACAACUCUUUUACUGUAACUACGGUGACUUACCCUAUUUGCUCGAUGUAAAAGUGGACAAGUACUUGUUUCGGGCCCUCGCGCAAUUUUGGAACCCCGCUUACAGUUGCUUCACUUUCGGAGGAGUUGAUUUAGUACCUGCGGUGGAGGAAUAUAUGGCGUUACUUAAUUGCUCGAAGAUUCAGGCUGAUAGGGCUUAUUCAAGACUUGUCAACGUCCCUCCCUUUUUGAAGAAGUUGAUGAAUAUCACAGGGAUGAGCGAACAAUGGGUUAAGGCUCGCAUCAAGCAAAAAGGGGAUAGUAAAUGUAUUCAUUGGAGGAAUUUGAGGGACUUGAUCCUUGCACACCUAGAUUCAAAGAAAAAGGUUGAUGUUUUUACCUUAAGCAUCUACGGUUUGAUUGUCUUUCCUAAAGCACUUGGACACAUAGAUGAAGCCGUCUCAAAUUUAUUCAAUCGACUUGAUAAAGGUACCACACCCGUCCCGGCAAUCCUAGCAGAAACUUUUCGAUCCUUGAAUGCAUGCCGUAGAGCGGGCGAAGGAAGAUUUAUUGGUUGCGCACAGCUUCUUUUAGCUUGGUUUCAUAGUCAUUUUUGGAAGGUGGAGAAGGUCUCCUAUCGGGUAUUCUCUAAGGAUUAUUUCCCAUUAAGAGAAUUAGUGGUCACAUCGAGGCAGGACGACAUCUCCGAAGAGAGGUGGAUAACUAUUCUCCAAAAUUUACGAGCCGAAGACGUUGAAUGGAGGGCUCCAUGGUUGAUUCCUGAUGAGAUCUUAUAUAGGUGCGGUGAUUUUGACUGGGUCCCUCUGGCUGGAAUAUGGGGAGCCGUUGGAUACGCUCCACUGAUGGUGUUAAGGCAGUAUCGAUCAAGGCAGUUUAUAUCGGUGACACAAGUGUUGGCACAAUGUGAGAUCCCCUAUAAAGACAACAAUUAUAAGAAGAGGGUUCGCGAGAUAACAGAUGCAUAGAACCAAACUCGAAGAAUAAAAGGAUUCACCGCAGGCCUGAUGACGACCCCUGAGUAUGAAUGGUGGUGGGGUAGGAGAGUCAACGACAACAUCCCUAGGCAGAAUUAAGGGAACACUCAACCGAUAGAGGAGCAUUUACGGGUCAUCCCAUCCGUGUUAGAGAUCAUUAAGUAAGAUUUUGAGAAAAGAAACUCGGAGUUGGGGAAGAAGAUAGAGCAGCUAGAAGAAGAUAAAAUAAAGUUGGGGUUAGACGUCGAUAUCUACAAGCUAGAGGCCGAGAAGUUAAGGAAAGGAAAGAAUAAGGCCGAGGAAGAUUUAGAUAGUCUGAAAACUGAUUACAAGAAGCUUCGUAUAACGAUAAAAACUGCCGGAUUAGGUAAAACGUCAGAACAAUGGCGUCAAGAGAUUAAAGAGGAAAAGACUAGAGCCGACCAUUGGGAGAAAGGGUUUCAAGAUGCCCGAGUACGAGAGGACACUCUGAAGAAGAGUUUGUUAGAAACCCAAAACGAUAAGGAGAAUUUACGAGCUCGGGUGGCUGAAUUGGAAAGAUUACUUCAGCAACAUCGUAGCCAUAAUUCGAUAAUUAAAUUGAAGGCUAGUCUGAGCAGGAUCGAAGAGUUGAAAGGGAAAAUAGAAGAACUCGAGACCGCACUGCGAGAUAGCAAAAGUCGAGUGGAACUUCUUGAGACAAACAACGACCAUUACAGAGAACAGCUUCACCACUCUCAAAAUCAGAUUAGAGAUAGCAAAAGUCAUGUGCGAAGCUAUAGCUCAGGUUCGGGAGGUAGCUGAUCACUUGCAAACCUUGGCAGUUUAGGCUGAUAUAUUGAGUUUGAAGUAUGAGUCAGAAUCAAACUGAGGCUGAAGCUUAGAUUGGCUUCUUAAGAAAGUUAAGACUUUGGGCAUUAGGGCGAAGUCGUAUAUGUAAUCAUCCGUUUUAUGUAAAGAAAAUUUUCUUCUAGUAAAGUUCUUCUAAUGAAAUUGAAUUGAAAUCAACGCCUCUUUUUGCAUUCAUUCAUUGCAUGUACAUGUCCCAUAAUUAUUUGCUAAGGUUAAAACAUAAAAUUUGCAGUUGUAAUACCACAAGACUGGAACCACGUCAUUCGUAUAGAACACGCCGACAAGCUAGAGUAAUGGAGGCCGAAUUCAACGAAAGGAUUGAGAGGAUGGAAAGAAUUCAAAUGGAAUUACAAGAGUAACUGGCCAAAUCGCAGCAAAAGACAAGAGACUUAAUAGUGAGAUCCCGAGAAGAAUCCUUCGAAAAAAAGGAUCAAAUGGCCAAGAUAAUGGAAAUGAUGUCAGCUUUAGUUAAGGGAAAGGGACCUAUGAACCCUGACGUUGUGAACCACAGUUAAGGGGUAAUCUCGAUCAAGAUCCGCCCCAUCUGCCAGGAUUUACUCCAUCGCACACCCAAGCAACACAAAGAGGAUACACUCAAUGGGAACUUACAGGCCCGGAGCAACGACUUGCACCACCUGUUAACUUGGGACAAGGAAUGUUCAUGACGAACCUAGGGGCUAGUCCUGCUGAUCCAUUAGUUCCAGAUUUGGACGACCCAGCAGAGAUAGCUAGGCUGAAAUUAGAUAAUCAUGAUGCAAAUGAGAAGUAUAGGAGUCUAGAGGAAAGACUCAAAGUGAUAGAAGGCACUAAAGUCUUCUCUGCACUAGGUGCCAAAGAACUCAGUUUGGUUCUCGAUCUAAUUUUGCCUCCGAAGUUCAAGGUGCCUGAUUUUGAAAAGUAUGAAGGGACAAGGUGCCCAAAAGCACAUCUCAUCAUGUCCUGCCAGAAGAUGACCGGCUAUGUGAACGAAGAUAAGCUACUCAUACAUUGUUUUCAAGAUAGUCUAGCAGGAUCGGCUCUUCGGUGGUAUAACUAGCUUAGUAGGGAAAAGAUCCGAUCCUGGAAGGACUUGGCAUCAGCGUUCUGUAAGCAGUACAAGCAUGUAUCGGAUAUGGUGCCAGACCGGAUGACCUUGCAAAUGAUGGAGAAAAAGCCGUUAGAGACCUUUAGAUAAUAUGCGCAGAGAUGGAGGGACGUCUCGGCCCAAGUGGAACCCCCACUAACAAAAACGGAGAUCACCGUUCUCUUUAUCAACACCUUAAAAGUGCCAUUUUAUGACAAACUAGUGGGAAGUGCCACGAAGGAUUUUACGGAUAUUGUAAUAUCCGGUGAGCUCAUAGAGAAUGCCGUCAAGAGUGGUAGAAUAGAAGGUUCAGAAUGUUCAAAAAGGGUAGCGCCUAUGAAGAAGAAAGAACCAGAAGCCCACAUGGUGGGAAUGGGAAGCCGUUAUACCCCUAAUCCAUAUCCAAACCAACCCCGACCUCGAAAUUAUCCACCUCCAAAUUUCUAUUAUCCCCCUCAAACCCCUUACUACCAAGCACCCCCUCCUUCCUACCCCGUAUACGCCACGAACAACCAAAGACCCGUCACCACAUUCCCAUAAAACAUGGUAUUUACUCAAAGCCAGCCCGAAAAUGAACCAAGACUAGCAAGGCCUAAUCCCGAGAGACCGCAAUUUACUCACAUCCCUGUGUCGUAUGGGGAAUUAUACACAAAAAUUUUAGAGAAAUAGUUGAUUUCUCCCCACUACAUGGCACCCCUUAAACCUCCAUACCCAAAGUGGUACGAUUCAAACGCUAGCUGUGUAUACCACGCCGGGAACCAGAGGCAUUCCACGGAGAAUUGCCUAGCCUUUAAGAGGAGAGUUCAAUGGCUCAUUGACGCAGGUAUCCUACGAUUCGAUAGUGCCAGUAACGCAACUGGGAACCCAUUCCCUAACCAUACCGAAGGAAAUGUGAGCACAGUGGAGAAAGAGGACGAAUGGAAAGUUAGAAGAUAUGUUUCGAAAAUAAGGACGCCUCUGCAGAAAAUCUGGGAGGUACUGGUUAAGAAAGGAUUGCUUUGUCACCCCGAUAGAAUUCUCGGAGAAGAAGGUCAAGGUUUUUGCAAUUUUCAUGGAAUUGUAGGAAACGAUAUUCAGUCGUGUGAGGAAUUUAAAAGGUUGCUUCAAGACCGGAUGGAUAAUAAGGAGAUUAAGGUCCUUAAUAAGAGAGAAGAGGCCAACGAAAAAGAAAUAUGCGCCUCUGACAGCCAGUCAUCAGUCCCCCUUAUAGCGCGGAUCGACCGUUGGUAAUUUAUUAUGACGCAACAAAAGAGCCGAUGAAACCAAAAAUGAUAAUCGAAGUACCAUCUCCUUUCCCGUACAAGGACGACAAAGUCGUACCAUGGAAAUACGACGUCAAUAUCGUCACACCUGAAGAUGAAAAACCCAAAACCAUGACUGAAAGUGUUAGGGAGGUAGGUCAUUUCACUCGUAGUGGAAGAUGUUAUUCGAAAGAGGUCGAACCGGUGAAAAAGAACAGUGACUGAAAGCAAAUAGGGAAAGCAGUGAUGCAUGAGGCCGAAGUCGAGCAAGAAAUUCCAUCGGUGUAGGAAACUAAAAUGCCUGGGGAUGAGGAGGAAGCACAGGAGUUCUUGAAAUUUAUCAAACACAGUGAAUACAAUGUGGUGGAACAAUUAAAUAAGCAACUAGCACGAAUCUCGGUUUUAUCUCUGCUGUUAAAUUCGGAGCCACACCGGAACGCUUUCCUGAAGGUGUUGAAUCAAGAUUACGUGGCAAAUAAUAUAUCCGUUGAGAAGCUUGACAAAUGGGUGAAUAAUCUAAACGCGGAUAAUUUCAUUUCUUUUAGUGAUGAUGAAAUACCACCUAACAGUAGAGGCUCAGUGAAAGCACUGCAUAUUACGACUCGCUGCAAGGGCUACAUAAUACCGAACGUGCUCAUCGAUAAUGGGUCGGCACUCAAUGUUAUGCCUUUGGCCACGCUUUCUAGAAUUCCGAUGGAUCUAUCCCAUUUAAGGCAUUGUCAUUCUACGGUAAAGGCAUUCGACGGGACAAGGCGUGAAGUCAUAAGAAAGAUUGAGAUCCCUCUAGAAGUGGGUCCCUACAUAUAUGAUGUCGAGUUCCAAGUCAUGGACAUUACACCCUUAUAUAACUGCCUUUUGGAAAGACCCUGGAUCCAUUUUGCUAGAGCGGUCCCAUCAUCCCUCAUCAAAAGGUGAAAUUUAUCAUGGAUGGUUGUUUGGUCACUGUUGAAGGAGAAGAAGACAUUGUCGCAUCUAUCUCUACUGAUGCGCCAUACCUUGAAGUGAGCAAGGACGCAGUGGAAUGCUCCUUCCGAUCCCUUGAAUUCGUCAAUGCCACAUUCGUCACUGAGGGAAACAAAAUUCCCGUGCCUAAAUUGUCGAGAAAUACUAGAAUGGGUGUCAAGUUGACUGUAGGAAGGGGAGCUCGAGCGAGAAGAGGUUUAAGGAGAUAUCUGCAAGGAAUAGUUAGGGCUCUAAAACCAGUGCACCACAAAGCUUGAUACGAUUUGGGGUUCCAGCCGGACAUGCGUCAAAGAAGAAGACAGUGGAAGAAAGAUCAAGAAAGAAGGAUCGCGAGAACCUUAGGCCGAGAACCAGAACGUGAGCCUAUAGAAUUCCCUCCUUUGUCAAUAACAUUUACGUCUGUGGGAAUGAUAUACCCAAGGCAGGAUAAUGCACAAGGCAUAAUGUUAAUGAUCGAAAAGGGUUUUCAGAACAUCAGUAUAAAUGUCAUUGACAAAGGAGCUGACACAAGUAAAGAGAUCUCAAGGAUACGCCUUUGUCCCCCGGGUUUCAUGUUGAACAAUUGGACUGCUGAGGACCUUCUUGUAGUUUAAAAGUCUUCAGAGUAAUGCUCAAAUAUUAAUAUUCUAUUGUGUCCUUAGACAUAAUAGAAUUCUUUUGUAAGAGCUUGUAUUCACUCUUUAUCAUUCAAAUGAAUAUCAAUGAAGAUGCAUUUUGUCACGAUCUUUUGUAUUAUCACUAAUUUCAUAAUCAUUUUCUCAUUUCAUAGCUUAUCCUUACAUUUGCCUCAUGCCAUGCCAUAACAUUUCGUUUGUUGGUUCCAAUACUGGGAUGCCCCUUUAUAGUUUCCUUUUUCAUUCAACUUUCAGGUGCUCAGAUGUCAACAGCAUGAACAAACCCGUUACGAGUCCUGAAAUCAAUUUUGAGAAGGCUAUUUGUUUAGGAGAAUUCGAAGCCGAAGAAAAUGCUGAAGACUAUGUCUCGUCUCCUGACUUGCUAAGAAUGGUGGAACAAGAGGAUAAACAGAUUUUGCCUCAUAAAGAAUCUGUUGAAAUAAUAAACUUGGGAACUGAAGAAAGGAAGCAAAAAGUGAAGAUUAGGACCUCUAUUUCAGAGGGCACUAGGCAUAAUUUAAUUGCUUUGCUCCGCGAGUACAGAGAUGUAUUCGUAUGGUCAUAUCAGGACAUGCCAGGAUUGGAUGAAGAUGUAGUGGUCCAUAAACUCCCAUUAAAACCAGAAUGCAAACCCAUUCAGCAAAAGCUAAGAAGGAUGAGACUUGAGAUGCUAUUGAAGAUCAAAAAAGAGGUCAAAAAGUAAUUCGAUACGGGUUUCUUACAAGCUUCCAAAUAUCCAGAAUGGGUGGCUAACAUAGUCCCGAUACCAAAGAAAGACGGUAAAGUACGAAUGUGCGUGGAUUAUCGUGACCUGAAUCAAGUAAAUCCUAAAGAUAAUUUUCCCUUACCACACAUUGAUAUGUUGGUGGAUAACACAGCAAAGCAUUUAUUGUUUUCUUUCAUGGAUGGAUUCUCGGGGUAUAAUCAGAUCAAGAUGGCCCUUGAGGAUAUGGAGAAAAUUACCUUCGUAACAAUGAGGGAACAUUCUGCUACAAGGUGAUGCCAUUUGGGUUAAAGAAUGCUGGGGCAACAUAUCAGAGGGCUAUGGUGACGUUAUUUCAUGACAUGAUGCAUAAGGAAAUAGAGGUCUACGUAGACGAUAUGAUCGCUAAAUCCCGAGGAGAAGAAGAGCAUGUAGUGAACCUGAAGAAGUUGUUCGACAGACUGAGAAAGUUCCAACUGAAGCUCAAUCCGGCCAAAUGUACAUUUGGGGCUACCUCGGGAAAAUUGCUAGGCUUCAUUGUCAGUGAAAGAGGUAUCGAGGUUGAUCCAGAUAAAAUAAAAGCCAUUCAAGAGUUGCCACCUCCGCACACACAAAAGGAAGUCAGAGGAUUUUUAGGGAGGUUAAACUACAUCGCCCGAUUCAUCGCUCAACUUACCAACCAAUGCGACCCAAUUUUUCGGCUUCUUCGAAAACAUAACCCGGGAGAAUGGAAUAAAGAAUGCCAGGUAGCUUUUGAUAUGAUAAAAUAAUAUUUGUCUAAUCCUCCAGUACUAGUACCGCCAACUCCGGGAAGACCAUUGAUAUUGUAUUUGACUAUGUUUGAAAAUUUAAUAGGUUGUGUACUGGGGCAACACGACGAGUCAGGAAAGAAAGAAAAGGUGAUCUACUAACUCAGCAAAAAGUUUACUGAAUAUGAGGCAAAGUAUCCGUCCAUUGAAAAAUACUGUUGCGCUCUGAUUUGGGUAGCUCGGAGACUCAGGCAAUAUAUGUUGUAUCAUACGACAUGGCUAAUUUCAAAGCUGGACCCAAUAAAAUACAUGAUGGAAUCACCGGUACUUUCAGGAAGAAUGGCACGAUGGCAGAUCCUCCUAUCGGAAUAUGACAUUGCCUAUGUAAGUCAGAAGUCGAUAAAAGGGAGCGCAAUAGCUAAUUUCUUAGCGACUCGAAUGACAGAGGAAUAUGAGCCCUUGAGAUUCGAUUUUCCAAAUGAAGACUUAAUGUGUAUCACAGAAAAGGAAUUCGAGUCAUCAAAAGAGAAGCCAUGGAAGAUGAGUUUUGAUGGUGCGUCGAAUGCUUUGGGGAAUGAAAUUGGAGUAAUCUUAGUCUCACCAGACGGGAAUCAUUAUCCGUUCACUGCCAGGCUGAAUUUCUUUUGUACCAAUAACAUAGCAGAAUAUGAGGCCUGUAUCAUGGGACUUUGUGCAGCUAUUGAAUGAAACGUCAAAACUUUAGAGGUUUAUGGAGACUCAACAUUGGUGAUUUACCAAAUCUGUGGAGAUUAAGAAAUGAGGGAUUCGAAAUUGGUUAAAUACAGUGAUCUAGUGGCAGAGCUGAUUAAAGAAUUCGAAGAAAUAACUUUUAAUUACUUCCCACGAGAAGAAAACCAAUUGGUUGAUGCCCUGGCCACUUUGGCUUCAAUGUUCAAAGCAAACAGAGAAACAUAAAUAAUGCCUCUUCAAAUGAGCAUAUAUGAAGUCCCUGCACAUUGUUUCAGCAUUGAAAAAGAGCCAGAUGGACGACCAUGGUUCCAUGAUGUCUUAGAAUAUAUCAAGAAUCAAAGGUAUCCCGAACAAGCAAAUGAGAACGACAAAAGAACAAUUAGAAGAAUGGCAGCUGGAUUCGUUCUUGACGGGGACAUCCUAUACAAAAGAGGAAAAGAUCAAGUGCUAUUGAAAUGCGUGGGUGAUGCUGAAGCUAGAAAAAUACUUGAAGAUGUCCAUGAAGGAACUUGUGGAACGCAUGCCAAUGGUUUCACUAUGACUAGGAAAAUUAUGAGACUCGGUUAUUACUGGCUGACGAUGGAAAGUGACUACAUUAGUUAUGCAAGAAAAUGCCACAAAUGUCAAAUUUAUGGUGAUAAGAUUCAUGUAGCCCCUUCACCCCUGUAUGUCAUGACUUCUCCGUGGCCUUUUUCUAUGUGGGGCAUGGAUGUUAUAGGGCCAAUUACCCCAAAAGCUUCUAAUGUACAUCGAUUUAUUUUUGUGGUUAUUGAUUACUUCACAAAAUGGAUAGCAGCCGCAUCAUUUGCCAAUGUGACGAAGACUGCAGUUUACAGGUUUUUGAAAAAAGAAAUCAUUUGUCGAUAUGGUUUGCCUGAAAGAAUCAUUUCAGAUAACGCUUUGAAUCUGAACAACAAGAUGAUGAAGGAAGUGUGUGAGCAAUUUCAAAUAAAGCAUCAUAACUCAUCGUCCUAUCGCCCGAAAAUGAACGGAGCUGUUGAAGCGACCAACAAGAAUAUUAAGAAAAUUAUUGGGAAAAUGAUCGAGACAUAUAAAGACUGACACGAGAAGCUACCAUUUGCUUUGUAUGCAUAUCGCACAUCUGUACGGACAUCUACGGGAGCAACUCAUUUCUCCCUGGUCUAUAGAAUAGAGGCUGUGCUACCCAUCGAAGUUGAAAUCCCCUCUUUACGAGUCUUAAUAGAGUCGAAACUAAAGGAAGCAGAAUAGGUUCGAGCUCGAUAUGACCAGUUAAACUUCAUCGAAGAAAAACGUUUAAAGGCAAUUUGUCACGGACAGAUGUACCAGAAGAGAAUGAUCGCGGCCCAUGAAAAGAAAAUACGGCCAAGAGAAUUCCACGAAGGAGAACUCGUACUGAGAAAGAUUCUUCUAAUACAGAAGGACUUACGAGGAAAAUGGGCACCAAAUUGGGAAGGACCAUACGUCAUAAAGAAGGCAUUCUCGGGCAGAGCUUUGAUUCUCACUAAGAUGGAGUUACCGAAUCCAGUGAAUUCAGAUACUGUGAAGAAAUAUUAUGCCUGAAAAAAAAUAAAAAAAUUCAAAAAAAAAGGAUCAAGGUGAAAACCCGAAAAGGGCGUCUUGAUUAACACAAAGGAUUAGAAUGAAAACUCGAAAGGGCAUUCUAAUGAAGCAAACCCGGGUUUAAAAACCAACGCGGUUGAACGGUGGGUCAAAUAGUGAGACUACAGCAUUUGAAGCAUUUUUCAGUAGCUCAAAAUCUUCUACGCAAGAAGCCAUGCUUGAAAAGAUUCUUGAUAAGAAACGUGGAAGAGUUCAUGUGUUGAAUAUCUAGAGCAUUUGUAUCCGUUGAAUGCGAUCUAUUUUCUCUUUAUGACACUUUUUCACUAUCAUUGGUUAAUUUUCUUUGUUUGCUACAUUUGAAAUAAAUAAAUGUGAGGUAUCCCUUUAUUCCUACCUGACCAUUUUCAUGUAUCUCAUUAUGUGGUUUAUUUAAAUGAUAAAUGUGAAAUGACAUACUCUAGACAAAAGAAAUGUUGAGCAUUACCCGGAUAAGAAUUUGAUAAGUACAAGAGUCUCAAGGUAAGGAAAAAGUUCGACCAGGGGCAUCUGAGAAAUGUUGAUUACCUGUAAAAACUUGAGGAUGGGUACAGGGCCUAAAUAGAAAGUCAAGAGUCGAAGAAAUGAAUGUAGAUCAUCACAAAAAAAAAUCGUGAUGAAAAAGGACAUAAGACAAACAUGCCAAAGGCGCAUAGCAUAAUCAUGUAGGCAUAAAGGCAUUUAAGACAAACAUAUGCAUAUCAUGAUAACGUUAUGCAUGACAUCUACAGGUACUCUAGUAGAGCGAGAGGACGUAAUGAUAGCUGUACUGAAUUAAAAAGACACCUGAGUUCCACCAGAUAACAUGUUUUGGUAUUCUGAUGUUUUUAUUUCUGUUUCAAAAAAAUCAACUCAUAUUGCGAGAGGUGAGUUGAGCCUCAGGACACGCUGAGGUAAUUUCAAUUUCUGUUUUUCAAAAAUCAACUCAUAUUGCGAGAUGUGAGUUGAGCCUCGGGUCACACGCCGAGAUAUUUUCAAUUUCUAUUUUUCAAAAAAAAUCAACUCAUAUUGCGAGAGGUGAGUUGAGCCUCAAGACACGUUGAGGUAUUUUCAAUUUUUGUUCAAUUUAUGUCUUUCAAAAAAAUCAACUCAUAUUGCGAGAAAUGAGUUGAGCCUCAAGACACGUUGAGGUAUUUAAAAUUUCUGCCUUUCAAAAAAAAAUCAACUCAUAUUGCGAGAAAUAAGUUGAGCCUCAAGACACAUUGAGAUAUUUUCAAUUUCUAUCUUUCAAAAAAAUCAACUCAUAUUGCGAGAAAUGAGUUGAGCCUCAAGACACGUUGAGGUAUUUUCAAUUUCUGCCUUUCAAAAAAAAAAUCAACUCAUAUUGCGAGAAAUGAGUUGAGCCUCAAGACACGUUGAGGUAUUUUCAAUUUCUGUCUUUCAAAAAAAUCAACUCAUAUUGCGAGAGGUGAGUUGAGCCUCAAGACACGUUGAGGUAUUUUCAAUUUCUGUCUUUCAAAAAAAUUAACUCAUAUUGCGAGAGGUGAGUUGAGCCUCAAGACACGUUGAGGUAUUUUCAAUUUUUGUCUUUCAAAAAAAUCAACUCAUAUUGCGAGAAAUGAGUUGAGCCUCAAGACACGUUGAGGUAUUUUCAAUUUCUGUCUUUCAAAAAAAUCAACUCAUAUUGCGAGAGGUGAGUUGAGCCUCGGUUCACAUGCUGAGGUAUUUUUAAUUUCUACUUUUCAAAAAAAACAAUCAACUCAUAUUGCGAGAGGUGAGUUGAACCUCAAAUCACGCCCUGAGGUAUUUUCAAUUUCUGUUUUUCAAAAAAAAAAAUCAACUCAUAUUGCGAGAGGUGAGUUAAACCUUAGGUCACACGCUGAGAUAUUUUCAAUUUUUUUUUUGCUUUUUCAAAGAUCAACUCAUAAUUCAAGAGGUGAGUUGAACUUCGGGUCACAUCCCGAGCUAUUUUCAAUUUCUUGUUUUUCAAUAAAGAAUAAAGAUUGGACAUUUGAACAAAAUUUAGUGCUUUUAAGUCUUUGCACUAUCCUUAUUUCACAAUGAUGAGCAAAGAGGGGCAGCUGUAAGCACUAAAUUUUUGUCCGACUAGAAUUCGUGUUUAAGUUCCAAAAUUUCAAAAAAAUAAAAUAAAAAAUAAAAAAAUUUCAAAAAAAAAUUACAUCUUAGACCCCUAAACUUUCCUUAAAUUACAUUUUAACCCUAAAUUUUCUAAAAAUUACAUUUAGCACCAGAAGUUUUGCUGCAUUUGUGAUUUGGUCCUUCAGACAGAUUACGUGAUUUGGGACACCCACUUCCCAGAUUUUCAGGCCAAAAACAUGGGUGGUUGUUCCUUCUUCACCCACUACCUGCAAAUGGCAUAAAAAACAAGCAAAAUGGUAGAAAUGAAAAAGGAACACACACA
rnacentral:lncRNA from 1 species